GGCCGCCUGGCGUAAUGGCAACGCGUCUGACUACGACUUGGUAAUCAGGAGAUUGCAGGUUCGACCCCUGCGGUGGUCA
rnacentral:tRNA from 1 species